rnacentral:rRNA from 1 species
AGUGAACGCUGGCGGUAGGCCUAACACAUGCAGGUCGAACGGCAGCACAGUAAGAGCUUGCUCUUACGGGUGGCGAGUGGCGGACGGGUGAGGAAUACAUCGGAAUCUACUUUUUCGUGGGGGAUAACGUAGGGAAACUUACGCUAAUACCGCAUACGACCUACGGGUGAAAGCAGGGGAUCUUCGGACCUUGCGCGAUUGAAUGAGCCGAUGUCGGAUUAGCUAGUUGGCGGGGUAAAGGCCCACCAAGGCGACGAUCCGUAGCUGGUCUGAGAGGAUGAUCAGCCACACUGGAACUGAGACACGGUCCAGACUCCUACGGGAGGCAGCAGUGGGGAAUAUUGGACAAUGGGCGCAAGCCUGAUCCAGCCAUACCGCGUGGGUGAAGAAGGCCUUCGGGUUGUAAAGCCCUUUUGUUGGGAAAGAAAAGCAGCAGGUUAAUACCCCGCUGUUCUGACGGUACCCAAAGAAUAGGCACCGGCUAACUUCGUG